UACGAAGGCAGCAGUGGGGAAUAUUGGACAAUGGGCGAAAGCCUGAUCCAGCCAUGCCGCAUGAGUGAAGAAGGCCUUCGGGUUGUAAAGCUCUUUUAGUGAGAAAGAUAAUGACGGUACUCACAGAAGAAGUCCUGGCUAACUCCGUGCCAGCAGCCGCGGUAAUACGGAGAGGGCUAGCGUUAUUCGGAAUUAUUGGGCGUAAAGAGCGCGUAGGCUGAUUAGUAAGUUAAAAGUGAAAUCCCAAAGCUUAACUUUGGAAUUGCUUUUUAAAACUGCUAGUCUAGAGAUUUGAAAGAGGAUAGAGGAAUUCCUAGUGUAGAGGUGAAAUUCGUAAAUAUUAGGAGGAACACCAGUGGCGAAGGCGUCUAUCUGGUUCAAAUCUGACGCUGAGGCGCGAAGGGCGUGGGGAGCAAACAGGGAUUAGAUACC
rnacentral:rRNA from 1 species